UCUAUAAUAUAGUCUUCUUUUUUGAAUAAAAUAAAGGUUAGAUGUUCAUCUGUCAAAUAUUAAAUAAUCUCUCCGGAAUAAUAAACUAAAUAUAAAUGAAAUUAUUUCAAAUAAUAUUAAGAUUUGUAACUAUAUUAAUGCAUUGGCAGGCACACUGAUAGAACAUAUUUAAUUGUGAAAGUUAUUGUUAUGUUAUUUUUAAAGUUUUAAAUGACAAAAAACGGAUGUUACCUCGUUAUUUAUUAAGAGGUACACAGAGACCACUAUAAGCUAUACAGAUAGUAGAAAGUAGAGUUCUUACAACUAAAGUAAAUGAAAUCUUUGAGACAUACAUCUUAAGGCUCAAGGAAAAUUGUAUUCAAUAGUAGAAGCUUGGAAUAAUUUACACAUUUCCCACAUUAAAGUCAGUGUUAUACAGAAGGGUCUAUUAGAUUAAUUUCAGCUACUGAGGAAUUUAAAGAGAAAAUAAUUAUGUUUGCGAACCCAAAACAAAUGUGUAUCUAGCAUUUUUAAAUAUCUUUGGAAAAAAAUAGACGGACGAACCUUUAGAUAGAGACCUAUAUUUUGCUAGGGGGAUUACUUAAUGGGGGAGUUGUAGGAUUGUCUAUUGGUAUAGUGUGUACCUACCAUAAACAAGAACCAAUUCUGAGAUAUAUGCAAGCCAUCCAUUGAUUGUAUUAAUUAUUAUUUGAGUGCAGAUUGCAGAGGUUUAUAUACUCAUAUGGAAAAACAAAUACAAAAGAAAUUACAAUUAUUACAAAUCAUAUUUUCCAGUCAAUGAGCAUUGUAGAAGAUGCAUUUGCUCCAUAUGAAUGUAUCAAUAAUAAAUUUCUAGUUAAUGUCAAAGCAGCAGCUUCAAUUCAAUUAAUUGACAUAAAAAUAUGCAAUAUUAUAUGGGAGGAACUUGAGAAGGAUUUUACAAAGAAUGUAUUCUUCAGUAAGUGAACUUAUGACGAGAACUGGACAAAAAUGCAAAUAAUUUUACAUGGUAGCAAUCAAAUUCAAAGUUACCCAUCAUCCUUUCACAACUUUUCUUCACCAUUUUCAAAACUUAUGAAAUGAUUAUUAUGUCAUUAGGAAUAAUCUGCUUUGAUUAAUAUUCUAAUAUAUAUUAUACACUUUUAAUAGUUAUAACUAGUAUAAAAUAAAAUCAGCUAUAAAAUAGUUACAUAAUACAUUCCAAAAAUGUUAAAGAUGCAAAUUAAAAAACGAAUAUAAAUUUAAUUUAAAGCAAAAAUCUACUGUAAAAUUAUAAAUAUUCCACUUGUGCGAGAUGAUUAAAUCUCCAUGUAUUUAGUUCAAAUGAAAACAGAACUCGAUUCGUAAUUUUUUUUUUUUCGAAAAUGAUUAAAUCAAAGAUGUAUUCUAGAUUGCUUUUUUUAUCAAUAAAUUUCUUAUGCAGUUUUAUUAUAUUUCAACUGCUUUCCUGAUAUCAUCUCUGGGAUGUGGAAAAAUUUGGGAAGAAGGGGAAUAUGACAGGAUCAAAUGGACAAAAACGGCCUGUUUUAUAUUAUAUUGUGUCCCGCAUAAGAACCGACUCAGCAGAGGCGUAUAGGGGUUGUCAAAAAAAGACGAUUGGGGAUCAUACAUCUCUAUAUCAAUUUUUUCCCCGAAGAAUUGAAGAACAUCAGAGUGGGGACCAAAAUUUCGAAAAAAAAAAUGUUUUCUUUGUAACCCUCUAACAUAAAAAUAGCAAAUUUGGUACACUUGAUGAGACUGUUAAGGGGAUCAAGUAACGGUGAGUAGAAGGCGAACGAACCACUCUAGGGGGAUUAAUUAUUCAUUGAAUUCAUUAAAUCUUCGAACAUUAUUAUUGAAAAGUAAUGAACGUUCUGUAUAAUUAGUGUCCAAGCAAGAUUUAUACUCAAUGAUAGUACAAUUAAACCUCAUUAUGGAAAAUUUUCUCAAUUGUUUCAAAGGAUUUUUAUAAUCUGAAUUAAUUCCUUCUUACUGAUUAGUAAUUUUAGCCAUCGUAUGUUCAGAAAAACAAUUGUUAUUCUAUAAGAAAUUCUUAAGGUGUAGGUAGAUUGUUUAGAAUUCAAUGUUUUUAAUGGUUUACUACUAUGGAGUCUGAUAUGUUUAUUUUAGAUAUAUUUUACGGACCAUCAUUACACCAUUUUUUUUGUUAAAAGGGUUAUUUAUUUUUCUACAUUGGUUAUCGAGAAUUUACAAGAGGUAUAAAAUAUUUGAAAAACAACACGUGCGGUUCAGUUCUAGAACACUUUUUAUCUGUUUGUAGAAUAGUUUGUUUACAUUAUAUCGAGGGUUUAAUGCCCAUAACGAAAAAUGACCGUGCAGACCCUUCUUGGAUGCCUUUGUCUUUGUUCCAAGAAUUGUUUGUUUCGAAUAUAUUUUUUUUAUAUUUAUGAGAUUACAUUCAACAAAAUUCUUAGAGAGAUAAGGACCACCCUACACUAUGAGAAAUUUUAAAAUCACAGUACUCUACAUAAAUAAUCCAAAGUAAUACCAAAAUAAUUAUACUUGUUGAGGAUUUAUUACUGAUAACGAAAAUUGACCGUGUAGCCUCUUUUUAGAUACCUUUAUCUUUGUUGGAAGAAUUUCUUAUUUACUUCUCAUUUUGAUUUUAUUUUUGAUAUUCAUGAGAAAAAUAACGUUUAAUAGAAUAUUUUCUGAUAUCGUUUGUUUAAUUUGGGGAUGAGGACAACCCUACAUUAUGGGAAGUUUUAAAAUCACAGAAUUCUCGAUAUCAAGAUAACAAAAAUGUUUUGAUUUGGUCUGUAUACAUAUGCAGCUAAUUUUUUGGAACUUGAAAUAAAUUUCAGUAACAUUGUUUCAAAUUCAACGAUCCUUAAUUAAUAUAAAAAUUUUCAUGUCAUUUAAUAAUAUUAAGUUAUUGUGAAUUGUAAUAAUUAAAUCUAUGCCAUGAUUUAUUGUAUGUAUUAUAUCUAUCACUAAUUAUUUAAAACUUUCCUAGAAAUAUUAUUAAAAAUAUAUCUUGCUUUAUAUUGCUUUAUUUGUUUUAUCUUUGAAAACACUGUUUUAUUCUAUUUGGAAAUUAUAUAACAAAAUAUGUAAUA